rnacentral:rRNA from 1 species
UACGUAGGGUGCGAGCGUUGUCCGGAAUUAUUGGGCGUAAAGAGCUCGUAGGCGGCCUGUCGCGUCGGAUGUGAAAGCCCGGGGCUCAACCCCGGGUCUGCAUUCGAUACUGGAUGGCUUGAAUCCGGGAGAGGGAUGCGGAAUUCCAGGUGUAGCGGUGAAAUGCGUAGAUAUCUGGAGGAACACCGGUGGCGAAGGCGGCAUCCUGGACCGGCAUUGGCGCUGAGGAGCGAAAGCCAGGGGAGCAAACGGG